GACGAACGCUGGCGGCGCGCUUAUCACAUGCAAGUCGAACGGAAAGGCCUGCUUUCCCUUGUGGAUUGCGGGUACUCGAGUGGCGAACGGGUGAGUAACACGUGAGUGAUCUGCCCCCAACUUGGGUAUAAGCCUGGGAAACUGGGUCUAAUUCCCGAUAGGACUGCAGGGUGGUGCCUGUGGUGGAAAACGAUUUUCUAGUGGUUGGGGAUGAGCUCGCGGCCUAUCAGCUUGUUGGUGGGGUAAUGGCCUACCAAGGCGGCGACGGGUAGCCGGCCUGAGAGGGUGGACGGCCACAUUGGGACUGAGAUACGGCCCAGACUCCUACGGGAGGCAGCAGUGGGGAAUAUUGCACAAUGGGCGGAAGCCUGAUGCAGCGACGCCGCGUGGGGGAUGACGGCCUUCGGGUUGUAAACUCCUUUCGACCGCGAGGAAGCCACCUGGUUGGAAGGGUGGUGACGGUAGUGGUAGAAGAAGCACCGGCUAACUACGUG
rnacentral:rRNA from 1 species